rnacentral:rRNA from 1 species
AGCGGCGGAUGGGUGAGUAACACGUGGGGAACCUGCCCCUAGGUCUGGGAUACCAUUUGGAAACAGGUGCUAAUACCGGAUAAUAAAGCAGAUCGCAUGAUCAGCUUUUGAAAGGCGGCGUAAGCUGUCGCUAAGGGAUGGCCCCGCGGUGCAUUAGCUAGUUGGUAAGGUAACGGCUUACCAAGGCGACGAUGCAUAGCCGAGUUGAGAGACUGAUCGGCCACAUUGGGACUGAGACACGGCCCAAACUCCUACGGGAGGCAGCAGUAGGGAAUCUUCCACAAUGGACGCAAGUCUGAUGGAGCAACGCCGCGUGAGUGAAGAAGGUUUUCGGAUCGUAAAGCUCUGUUGUUGGUGAAGAAGGAUAGAGGUAGUAACUGGCCUUUAUUUGACGGUAAUCAACCAGAAAGUCACGGCUAACUACGUGCCAGCAGCCGCGGUAAUACGUAGGUGGCAAGCGUUGUCCGGAUUUAUUGGGCGUAAAGCGAGCGCAGGCGGAAAAAUAAGUCUAAUGUGAAAGCCCUCGGCUUAACCGAGGAACUGCAUCGGAAACUGUUUUUCUUGAGUGCAGAAGAGGAGAGUGGAACUCCAUGUGUAGCGGUGGAAUGCGUAGAUAUAUGGAAGAACACCAGUGGCGAAGGCGGCUCUCUGGUCUGCAACUGACGCUGAGGCUCGAAAGCAUGGGUAGCGAACAGGAUUAGAUACCCUGGUAGUCCAUGCCGUAAACGAUGAGUGCUAAGUGU